rnacentral:rRNA from 1 species
CCUACGGGUGGCAGCAGUGGGGGAUAUUGCACAAUGGGGGGAACCCUGAUGCAGCGACGCCGCGUGGGUGAAGGAGCGUUUCGGCGCGUAAAGCCCUAUCGGCAGGGAAGAAGGAGGACGGUACCUGACUAAGAAGCCCCGGCUAACUACGUGCCAGCAGCCGCGGUAAUACGUAGGGGGCAAGCGUUAUCCGGAUUUAUUGGGUUUAAAGGGUGCGUAGGCUGUGAGGUAAGUCAGCGGUGAAAUGCCCCCGCUCAACGGGGUGAAGUGCCAUUGAUACUGCCUUGCUGGAAUGCGGAUGCCGUGGGAGGAAUGUGUGGUGUAGCGGUGAAAUGCUUAGAGAUCAUACAGAACACCGAUUGCGAAGGCAGCUUACCAAACUAUAUCUGACGUUGAGGCACGAAAGCGUGGGUAGCAAACAGGAUUAGAUACCCGAGUAGUC